rnacentral:rRNA from 1 species
GUUGUAUGGUUAAGUGACUAAGCGUACACGGUGGAUGCCUUGGCAGUCAGAGGCGAUGAAAGACGUAGUAACUUGCGAUAAGCCCAGAUUAGGUAGUAACAACCAUUUGAGUCUGGGAUUUCUGAAUGGGGAAACCCACUUACAUAAGUAAGUAUCAUUAACUGAAUACAUAGGUUAAUGAGGCGAACCGGGGGAACUGAAACAUCUAAGUACCCCGAGGAAAAGAAAUCAACCGAGAUUCCGAAAGUAGCGGCGAGCGAAAUUGGACUAGCCCUUAAGCUUUACACGCGUUAGACGAACGGUCUGGAAAGUCCGACGAUACAGGGUGAUAGUCCCGUAGUUGACGACGUGUGUUCAGUGAAAUCGAGUAGGGCGGGACACGUGAUAUCCUGUCUGAAUAUGGGGGGACCAUCCUCCAAGGCUAAAUACUACUGACUGACCGAUAGUGAACCAGUACCGUGAGGGAAAGGCGAAAAGAACCCCUGUGAGGGGAGUGAAAUAGAACCUGAAACCGUGUACGUACAAGCAGUAGGAGCAGGCUUGUCCUGUGACUGCGUACCUUUUGUAUAAUGGGUCAGCGACUUAUAUUCAGUGGCAAGGUUAACCAUCUAGGGGAGCCGUAGGGAAACCGAGUCUUAACUGGGCGUUCAGUCUCUGGAUAUAGACCCGAAACCAGGUGAUCUAGCCAUGGGCAGGUUGAAGGUUGAGUAACAUCAACUGGAGGACCGAACCGACUAAUGUUGAAAAAUUAGCGGAUGACUUGUGGCUAGGGGUGAAAGGCCAAUCAAACCUGGAGAUAGCUGGUUCUCCCCGAAAGCUAUUUAGGUAGCGCCUCGGACGAAUACUACUGGGGGUAGAGCACUGUUAAGGCUAGGGGGUCAUCCCGACUUACCAACCCUUUGCAAACUCCGAAUACCAGUAAGUACUAUCCGGGAGACACACGGCGGGUGCUAACGUCCGUCGUGGAGAGGGAAACAACCCAGACCGCCAGCUAAGGUCCCAAAUUACUACUAAGUGGGAAACGAUGUGGGAAGGCUCAGACAGCCAGGAUGUUGGCUUAGAAGCAGCCAUCAUUUAAAGAAAGCGUAAUAGCUCACUGGUCGAGUCGGCCUGCGCGGAAGAUGUAACGGGGCUAAGUAGUAAACCGAAGCUGCGGCAAUAUACUUUUGUAUAUUGGGUAGGGGAGCGUUCUGUAAGCGGUUGAAGGUGUGUGGUAACGCAUGCUGGACGUAUCAGAAGUGCGAAUGCUGACAUGAGUAACGAUAAAGGGGGUGAAAAACCUCCUCGCCGGAAGACCAAGGGUUCCUGUCCAACGUUAAUCGGGGCAGGGUAAGUCGACCCCUAAGGCGAGGCCGAAAGGCGUAGUCGAUGGGAAACGGGUUAAUAUUCCCGUACUUCUUACAAUUGCGAUGGGGGGACGGAGAAGGCUAGGUGGGCCUGGCGACGGUUGUCCAGGUUCAAGUGCGUAGGCUUAAGAGUUAGGUAAAUCCGGCUCUUUCUAAGGCUGAGACACGACGUCGAGCAUCUACGGAUGUGAAGUCAUUGAUGCCAUGCUUCCAGGAAAAGCCUCUAAGCUUCAGAUUGUAAGGAAUCGUACCCCAAACCGACACAGGUGGUCGGGUAGAGAAUACCAAGGCGCUUGAGAGAACUCGGGUGAAGGAACUAGGCAAAAUGGUACCGUAACUUCGGGAGAAGGUACGCUCUCGACGGUGAAGUCCCUUGCGGAUGGAGCUAUUGAGAGUCGCAGAUACCAGGUGGCUGCAACUGUUUAUUAAAAACACAGCACUGUGCAAAAUCGUAAGAUGACGUAUACGGUGUGACGCCUGCCCGGUGCCGGAAGGUUAAUUGAUGGGGUUAGACUUCGGUCGAAGCUCUUGAUCGAAGCCCCGGUAAACGGCGGCCGUAACUAUAACGGUCCUAAGGUAGCGAAAUUCCUUGUCGGGUAAGUUCCGACCUGCACGAAUGGCGUAAUGAUGGCCACGCUGUCUCCACCCGAGACUCAGUGAAAUUGAAAUCGCUGUGAAGAUGCAGUGUACCCGCGGCUAGACGGAAAGACCCCGUGAACCUUUACUACAGCUUGGCACUGAACAUUGACCCUACAUGUGUAGGAUAGGUGGGAGGCUUUGAAGCACGUACGCCAGUAUGUGUGGAGCCGUCCUUGAAAUACCACCCUUGUAGUGUUGAUGUUCUAACGUCGACCCCUUAUCGGGGUUGCGGACAGUGCCUGGUGGGUAGUUUGACUGGGGCGGUCUCCUCCCAAAGAGUAACGGAGGAGCACGAAGGUGGGCUAAUCACGGUUGGACAUCGUGAGGUUAGUGCAAUGGCAUAAGCCCGCUUGACUGCGAGAAUGACAAUUCGAGCAGGUGCGAAAGCAGGUCAUAGUGAUCCGGUGGUUCUGAAUGGAAGGGCCAUCGCUCAACGGAUAAAAGGUACUCCGGGGAUAACAGGCUGAUACCGCCCAAGAGUUCAUAUCGACGGCGGUGUUUGGCACCUCGAUGUCGGCUCAUCACAUCCUGGGGCUGAAGUCGGUCCCAAGGGUAUGGCUGUUCGCCAUUUAAAGUGGUACGCGAGCUGGGUUUAGAACGUCGUGAGACAGUUCGGUCCCUAUCUGCCGUGGGCGUUGGAAGAUUGAAGGGGGCUGCUCCUAGUACGAGAGGACCGGAGUGGACGAACCUCUGGUGUUCGGGUUGUGUCGCCAGACGCAUUGCCCGGUAGCUAAGUUCGGAAUCGAUAACCGCUGAAAGCAUCUAAGCGGGAAGCGAGCCCUGAGAUGAGUCUUCCCUGAUACUUUAAGUAUCCUAAAGGGUUGUCGGAGACUACGACGUUGAUAGGUCAGGUGUGUAAGUGCUGUGAGGCAUUGAGCUAACUGAUACUAAUUGCCCGUGAGGCUUAACCAUACAACACCCAAGGGGUUU